rnacentral:rRNA from 1 species
UACAGAGGGGGCAAGCGUUGUUCGGAAUUACUGGGCGUAAAGGGCGCGUAGGCGGCCUGUUAAGUCAGACGUGAAAUCCCUCGGCUCAACCGGGGAACUGCGUCGGAUACUGGAUGGCUUGAAUUCGGGAGAGGGAUGCAGAAUUCCAGGUGUAGCGGUGAAAUGCGUAGAUAUCUGGAGGAAUACCGGUGGCGAAGGCGGCAUCCUGGACCGACAUUGACGCUGAUGAGCGAAAGCUAGGGGAGCAAACGGG